UACAGAGGGUGCGAGCGUUAAUCGGAAUUACUGGGCGUAAAGCGUGCGUAGACGGCUAUCUAAGUCGGGUGUGAAAGCCCCGGGCUCAACCUGGGAAUUGCAUUCGAGACUGAAUAGCUAGGGUGCGGUAGAGGGAAGCGGAAUUUCCGGUGUAUCGGUGAAAUGCGUAGAUAUCGGAAGGAACAUCAGUGGCGAAAGCGGCUUCCUGGACCAGCACCGACGUUCAGGCCCGAAAGCGUGGGGAGCAAACAGG
rnacentral:rRNA from 1 species